rnacentral:rRNA from 1 species
AUUGAACGCUGGCGGCAGGCCUAACACAUGCAAGUCGAGCGGAUGAAGGGAGCUUGCUCCUGGAUUCAGCGGCGGACGGGUGAGUAAUGCCUAGGAAUCUGCCUGGUAGGGGGGGAUAACGUCCGGAAACGGGCGCUAAUACCGCAUACGUCCUGAGGGAGAAAGGGGGGGAUCUUCGGACCUCACGCUAUCAGAUGAGCCUAGGUCGGAUUAGCUAGUUGGUGGGGUAAAGGCCUACCAAGGCGACGAUCCGUAACUGGUCUGAGAGGAUGAUCAGUCACACUGGAACUGAGACACGGUCCAGACUCCUACGGGAGGCAGCAGUGGGGAAUAUUGGACAAUGGGCGAAAGCCUGAUCCAGCCAUGCCGCGUGUGUGAAGAAGGUCUUCGGAUUGUAAAGCACUUUAAGUUGGGAGGAAGGGCAGUAAGUUAAUACCUUGCUGUUUUGACGUUACCAACAGAAUAAGCACCGGCUAACUUCGUG